rnacentral:rRNA from 1 species
UAAGGAAUAUUGGUCAAUGGACGCAAGUCUGAACCAGCCAUGCCGCGUGGAGGAUGAAGGUCCUCUGGAUUGUAAACUUCUUUUAUCUGGGACGAAACACUUCUUUUCUAAGAGGCCUAACGGUACCAGAUGAAUAAGCACCGGCUAACUCCGUGCCAGCAGCCGCGGUAAUACGGAGGGUGCAAGCGUUAUCCGGAUUCACUGGGUUUAAAGGGUGCGUAGGUGGGUAUGUAAGUCAGUGGUGAAAUCCCCGAGCUUAACUUGGGAACUGCCAUUGAUACUAUAUAUCUUGAAUACCGUAGAGGUAAGCGGAAUAUGUCAUGUAGCGGUGAAAUGCUUAGAUAUGACAUGGAACACCAAUUGCGAAGGCAGCUUAUUAUGCUGUGAUUGACACUGAGGCACGAAAGCGUGGGUAGCAAACA